rnacentral:rRNA from 1 species
UAGGGAAUCUUCAGCAAUGGACGGAAGUCUGACCGAGCAACGCCGCGUGAGUGAAGAAGGUUUUCGGAUCGUAAAGCUCUGUUGUAAGAGAAGAACGAGUGUGAGAGUGGAAAGUUCACACUGUGACGGUAUCUUACCAGAAAGGGACGGCUAACUACGUGCCAGCAGCCGCGGUAAUACGUAGGUCCCGAGCGUUGUCCGGAUUUAUUGGGCGUAAAGCGAGCGCAGGCGGUUAGAUAAGUCUGAAGUUAAAGGCUGUGGCUUAACCAUAGUAGGCUUUGGAAACUGUUUAACUUGAGUGCAAGAGGGGAGAGUGGAAUUCCAUGUGUAGCGGUGAAAUGCGUAGAUAUAUGGAGGAACACCGGUGGCGAAAGCGGCUCUCUGGCUUGUAACUGACGCUGAGGCUCGAAAGCGUGGGGAGCAAACAGGAUUAGAUACCCUGGUAGUCCACGCUGUAAACGAUGAGUGCUAGGUGUUAGACCCUUUCCGGGGUUUAGUGCCGUAGCUAACGCAUUAAGCACUCCGCCUGGGGAGUACGACCGCAAGGUUG